AUUGAACGCUGGCGGCAGGCCUAACACAUGCAAGUCGAACGGUAACAGGAAGCAGCUUGCUGCUUUGCUGACGAGUGGCGGACGGGUGAGUAAUGUCUGGGAAACUGCCCGAUGGAGGGGGAUAACUACUGGAAACGGUAGCUAAUACCGCAUAACGUCGCAAGACCAAAGAGGGGGUCCUUAGGGCCUCUUGCCAUCGGAUGUGCCCAGAUGGGAUUAGCUAGUAGGUGGGGUAACGGCUCACCUAGGCGACGAUCCCUAGCUGGUCUGAGAGGAUGACCAGCCACACUGGAACUGAGACACGGUCCAGACUCCUACGGGAGGCAGCAGUGGGGAAUAUUGCACAAUGGGCGCAAGCCUGAUGCAGCCAUGCCGCGUGUAUGAAGAAGGCCUUCGGGUUGUAAAGUACUUUCAGCGGGGAGGAAGGGAGUAAAGUUAAUACCUUUGCUCAUUGACGUUACCCGCAGAAGAAGCACCGGCUAACUCCGUG
rnacentral:rRNA from 1 species